CCUUUGUGACAUACCUAUAACUGUUGCUUCGGCGGGUAGGGUCCCCGUGACCCUCCCGGCCUCCCGCCCCCCGGGCGGGUCGGCGCCCGCCGGAGGAUAACCAAACUCUGAUUUAACGACGUUUCUUCUGAGUGGUACAAGCAAAUAAUCAAAACUUUUAACAACGGAUCUCUUGGUUCUGGCAUCGAUGAAGAACGCAGCGAAAUGCGAUAAGUAAUGUGAAUUGCAGAAUUCAGUGAAUCAUCGAAUCUUUGAACGCACAUUGCGCCCGCCAGCAUUCUGGCGGGCAUGCCUGUUCGAGCGUCAUUUCAACCCUCAAGCUCUGCUUGGUGUUGGGGCCCUACAGCUGAUGUAGGCCCUCAAAGGUAGUGGCGGACCCUCCCGGAGCCUCCUUUGCGUAGUAACUUUACGUCUCGCACUGGGAUCCGGAGGGACUCUUGCCGUAAAACCCCCAAUUUUCCAAAGGUUGACCUCGGAUCAGGUAGGAAUACCCGCUGAACUUAAG
rnacentral:rRNA from 1 species